UACAGAGGGUGCGAGCGUUGUCCGGAAUCACUGGGCGUAAAGGGCGCGUAGGCGGCCUGAUAAGUAGGGGGUGAAAUCUUGCGGCUCAACCGCAAGGCUGCCUUCUAAACUGUCAGGCUGGAGCACGGUAGAGGCAGAUGGAAUUCCCGGUGUAGCGGUGAAAUGCGCAGAUAUCAGGAGGAACACCGGUGGCGAAGGCGGGUCUCUGGGCCGAUACUGACGCUGAGGAGCGAAAGCGUGGGGAGCGAACAGG
rnacentral:rRNA from 1 species